UACGUAGGGCGCAAGCGUUGUCCGGAAUUAUUGGGCGUAAAGAGCUCGUAGGUGGUGUGUCGCGUCUGCCGUGAAAUCCCGGGGCUCAACCCCGGGCCUGCAGUGGAUACGGGCUGGCUAGAGGCAGGCAGGGGAGAACGGAAUUCCUGGUGUAGCGGUGAAAUGCGCAGAUAUCAGGAGGAACACCGGUGGCGAAGGCGGUUCUCUGGGCCUGUACUGACGCUGAGGAGCGAAAGCGUGGGGAGCGAACAGG
rnacentral:rRNA from 1 species